ensembl:lncRNA
GGAGUGGGCAGUGGGGUUGGUUGGAAGAGAACUGACAGUUGGAGGAGUGGAGGUGGGCAGUGGGGUUGGUUGGUAGAGAACUGACAGUUGGAGGAGUGGAGGUGGGCAGUGGGGGUUGGUUGGUAGAGAACUGACAGUUGGAGGAGUGGAGGUGGGCAGUGGGGUUGGUUGAUACAGAACUGACAGUUGGAGGAGUGGAGGUGGGCAGUGGGGUUGGUUGGUAGAGAACUGACAGUUGGAGGAGUGGAGGUGGGCAGUGGGGUUGGUUGGUAGAGAACUGACAGUUGGAGGAGUGGAGGUGGGCAGUGGGGGUUGGUUGGUAGAGAAUUGACAGUUGGAGGAGUGGAGGUGGGCAGUGGGGGUUGGUUGGUAGAGAACUGACAGUUGGAGGAGUGGGGGUGGGCAGUGGGGUUGGUUGGUAGAGAACUGACAGUUGGAGCAUCCUGGCUGGGGGAGCCCAAGGACCAAAGGACAACCGCUCGUCUCCCACAGACGGAGAGGAGGCAUAUGCUCGAGGAGUGAGCAUUGGGAAGAUGGAUGGACUUUUAUUUUUUAAGAAAUACAUAAACAGGGGGCACCACCUACCCACACCCUUACUAGAGCCUUGCAAUUCUUGGUGAAAGGUAGGGCAACAAUCUUAAAGGGGGGGUUCAGUAUUUUACAACUUUUACAACUAAAAGUUCAAUGGUUCUACACCGUUUAAGCAGCCUAUGAGCCAAAAGCAAUUGUAAUCCACGGGUUGGUUUUCUUUACAAAGCCACUUUAGUCACUAGAAAAAAAUCUGCCCGACAAUGUACUGCCUGUUGAAGACAUGUCUGUCUCUUCCACCACAGGAACUAUGCUCAUAAGACUAAUUUAUCCUCCAUGGUUACAAUAUGUGGAAUUGUGGCACCACUACACACUCAAGGUUACACAGUUCUAGAACUGGCAUUUUGGAGAAUUAAUUCAUCCUUGUGAGACCUCCCUCUCUGUCGGACUCCACUAUCCCUACCCCUUCCGAAAUUUGAAUGACUGAUUUUCUUUUUGUGUGAAGAGGCUAUAGUUUGUAUAUUUUUGGUCGUUCAAACGUGUUUGAUUUUGUGUUUGAUUUUAAGUUGACAUUAAGCACAUUCACAAAGGAUGUUGUUCCACUCAUUUUGUGUUAGAUUUAACGCGGCAUGCUCACUUCCGUUUACAAAUGGAGGAUAACACAAUUGGGUUUCUGAGCAGCUAGAUUAGUGAUGAAACAACAGGAUAGACGUUUCUGAUUUAGAAUAUUUUUUUAUGACGUUUAAACAAACUGACGAUGCAGAUAUCUGUGUUAAAGCCUGAGUAUAUUCACCUGUCCUUAUUUGAAGAGGUCACUCUCACCAAAAGCUGAGGUACUGUAAGUAUGUGACUGGAAACAACGAAAGUAAGGCAAAAUGUCACUAUGCCUUUAUCUUCUUGUCACAUUCUCAAACAUCUUGUUAUACUUGGACUUUGACUGUAUUGUACAAAAAAAUGUUUCCUUAAAGGUGAAGCGCUUCACUGUUUCUUAAUGCAAACAUCAAGUCACAGCAAGACCCAACUGAAGAAUAAGAGGAAUGGGUUCCAUCAAAUCUUUAGCGAAAAGUAAUGUCAUACAAAUAUGAACUAUAUACUGAGAAAACACUGCUGUAUUUUUAUCCUAGUUCUUUUAUAUACUGAGGAAAAUCUAAACUUUUGUCUCUUAUUGUUGUAAAUUAUGUCAGAAAUGAUUUGACAGUAGUUCUUUGCUGGGUUGUUCGAUAUCUGCAUUAGUUUGCACUGUUUUCACAUUCUAUUUUCAGUGACGCUGGACAUUUCUUAUGUUGAUACUGUUCAUACAAGGUUUUGCAUAGAAAGCAAGAGUUCAAAAAUAUGCAAUAACAACCGCACUGUAUAGAGGAUUCUACACAAACACAACCUUGUUGUUAUUGAACUGUAAAUAUGUGUUAAAAAAAAAUGUCGGGAGAUUCUUAUAAUAAAAACACUGAGAAAACUGA